AGAAGCCUGAGGAGCCGGAGAGGGUGCUGGCUGCCGCGCGGCCGAGUGUGUUUUAUGGACCAUGUGCUGCUAUGUAUGCCUGAAGAAGUACUUGAAAUGCAAAUUUGGGGAGACUUUGCCAUAUAAAUGCUUGGCUGGAUUAAGCGCCUAAUUAGGAUGGUUUUUCAACAAGUUGGAGUAAGCAUGCAAUCGGUACUUUGGUCUAGGAAGCCAUAUGGUUCGUCUCGAAGUAUCGUAAGGAAAAUUGGUACUAAUUUGUCUCUGAUUCAGUGUCCAAGAGUUCAGUUUCAGAUUAACAGCCAUGCAACAGAAUGGAGUCCCAGCCACCCAGGAGAGGAUGCGGUGGCGUCUUUUGCUGAUGUUGGAUGGGUAGCCAAAGAAGAAGGAGAGUGUUCAGCAAGACUAAGGACAGAGGUCAGAUCAAGGCCACCCCUUCAGGAUGACCUUCUUUUCUUUGAGAAGGCCCCAAGCAGACAGAUUUCCUUACCAGACUUCUCUCAAGAAGAGCCUCAGCUGAAGACCCCAGCACUGGCAAAUGAGGAAGCACUGCAGAAGAUUUGUGCUCUCGAAAAUGAACUUGCUGCUCUCAGAGCUCAGAUUGCCAAAAUUGUGACCCAGCAGGAGCAGCAAAAUCUCACUGCAGGUGACUUAGAUUCUACCACAUUUGGUACCAUACCACCACACCCUCUGCCUCCCCCACCACCCCCGCCUCCCCCUCCACUGGGGCUCCACCAAAGUAUAUCUGCUGUUGAUCUGAUUAAAGAACGAAGAGAGAAAAGAGCCAAUGCUGGAAAGACUUUGGUUAAGAACAGUCCAAAGAAACCUGAAAUGCCAAAUAUGCUAGAGAUCCUUAAAGAUAUGAACAGUGUAAAACUUCGGUCAGUGAAGAGGUCAGAGCAAGAUGUGAAGCCCAAGCCAGUGGAUGCUACUGACCCUGCUGCCCUCAUAGCAGAGGCUCUGAAAAAGAAAUUUGCUUAUCGGUAUCGAAGUGAUAGCCAAGAUGAAGUUGAAAAAGGAGUUCCAAAGUCUGAAUCAGAGGCCACCUCAGAGAGAGUGUUGGUGAGUUAUUUGCCCAGAUUUCUUUCCUGUUACAUAGAAAUCCAUCCCAUUGUGAAGCACUUGCAUUUUGCAAGUGAUUCACCUGUGUCAUCUGUAAGUUCCAAAGGGAGGUGAUACAGGAUUUGGUCCCUGCCUUACAAGUAGAUCACAGCUGGUUGGGAAAAGGAUGACAUCUUUGCUUAGCAUUUACACUUUUACUUUUCUAACUAUGAAAAUAAUAGUUGUUCAUUUGGAAACUUGAAACUUGUAGAAGAGCAGAAAGAAGAAAGCCAAAGUUAACCCCUGAGCUCACUAAGUAAUCUCCAAUGUUACAUUUUCUAUGCA
rnacentral:sRNA from 1 species